rnacentral:rRNA from 1 species
CCUACGGGGGGCAACAGUGAGGAAUAUUGGUCAAUGGACGAGAGUCUGAACCAGCCAAGUAGCGUGAAGGAUGACUGCCCUAUGGGUUGUAAACUUCUUUUAUAUGGGAAUAAAAUGUUCCACGUGUGGGAUUUUGUAUGUACCAUAUGAAUAAGGAUCGGCUAACUCCGUGCCAGCAGCCGCGGUAAUACGGAGGAUCCGAGCGUUAUCCGGAUUUAUUGGGUUUAAAGGGAGCGUAGGUGGAUUGUUAAGUCAGGUGUGAAAGUUUGCGGCUCAACCGUAAAAUUGCAGUUGAAACUGGCAGUCUUGAGUACAGUAGAGGUGGGCGGAAUUCGUGGUGUAGCGGUGAAAUGCUUAGAUAUCACGAAGAACUCCGAUUGCGAAGGCAGUUCACUGGACUGCAACUGACACUGAGGCUCGAAAGUGUGGGUAUCAAACAGGAUUAGAUACCCUUGUAGUC